UCAUUUAUAUAAUUUUAUUCGUCUAGUUAUGACAGACCUACACUUGACUGCGCAGAAUCACUUGCAUGAAUUACUGUGUGAACAAUAAAUUUUUAAGAU
rfam:Populus trichocarpa scaffold_13_contig_8, whole genome shotgun sequence.